AACAAACCUGUCAUUGGUACCUGAACUACAUUUCAGUCACUCAGUAAAGAGAUAAUUCAAAAUAUCAUUGUCAACAGAUCUGAAGAAAUUGCCAGUCUUUAGACCGUUUUCGUCAGACGAGAGACGCAGUUCUGACUGAUUACUGGUUGCUGUACAUAUCUAUCCACAUGAAGGCUGUUGAGAGAGACUCGUGAAGAUUCAAGACAGCUCUUAGAGGAUUUGCAGUUUAAAAGUGAA